AGGGAAAUGCCUCCUCAGGCCCCGGGUCCAUUUUUCGACCGGGGUGUCGGGUGUGUUUCUGUGCUUCUUUACUCACUUAUUUCCUGGGGGCUGGGUUGUUUCCGUGGUUGAGCUGGGAAUAGGGAAGCCCCAUCCCGACCUGGGCUUUGGGGCCCGGGUCGGGUGACUGCGCGUCGUGCAGGGAAGGCGGGACAGAGGUGACAGCGGGGUGAGCCGCCGCGCCCCUCCCGGUGUGCCUUCUCCCAGGAGGUCUCCUGAACCUCCGCCUUUGGCUUUCCCUGUGAGCCGCUUUGGUUCUGGCCAAACACCUGGUAUGAAGAGCUGCUCUCGAGCCAGCUCGGGCGAUCGCAGGCCGGUAGCACGAGAGCAGGAAAGACCUCCCGGAGGUCCCUCCAGGCUCCCUGGGGAAAAGGUCUGUCUGGGUCGCUGGGGCCAGCUUGGCACCCUCUGUGGCUGGCCGACCCUCGAGGGCGGGCGACCGACGCUCGCCUCAGGUGGGGUCCAUAAAGCAAGAGAGAACGAGGGAAGGAGAGACAGGGACAGGGACAGGGACGGGGACGGGGACAGGAAGGAAGGAAGCAAGGAAGCCAGAACGAAACCAGAAGGGAAAGAAUCACGAGUUUAUUAUUGGACGACCGAAGGAAUACCACUUGGAAACGCAAGGCAAGAGCAAGAGCUCCAUAUAUACACACACGCGCGCGGGGCCCUCCAUACCCCAGGGCAGGCCCGUCUGAGCAAGGGCCACCCUGUCCUGACAGGUUCUUCUUGGGAGUUCCCUCAAGGGGAGGGAGAGAACCCACCCAGCCCCGGGCCCAGGGCCCAGGGCCCAGGCCCCAGGCAGCCCCGGGGGCCUGCUGAGCCAGAGCGAGGAGGAACCCCUGGGACUUGCUGUUCGAGCAGAUGUCCACAAGGCGGCGCCAGAGGACCUCGCCGCCCCAGGUGCGCUCUGCCCAGGCGGCAGGAGCAGGCUCGGAGGUGGGGCGGAGGGGGUGCUGGGCGGAACCCCCCCCCCCCCCCCGCCGGCAAGCACCCCGAGGACCGGCUUUGUGCUCUGGGCCCCUGGGGCGAGGGCAAGGUCCUUCUGGCCUGGGGAGACGAGCCGCCCUUUGCAGUUCGGCGCGAGGGCGGGCAGGCCUCCCCGACACCAGGUUCGAGGAAUGAAGCCGCCUUGAUGCGUUCCACCGGGAAGGCUCUCAGCGAGUUCUCUCGGGGCUGCCAGGCGGAAGCGUCUCUGUCUGUCACUGCGGUGUCUGCGGUAAGUGCCGCUUUGGGAGAGCAACCCCUGGCCAGACAACAUCCCAGGUGGCACGUGGCACCCAGGUAAACUGAGCCAUACGACGUCCUUUGGAGCCCAGGACCUCAGCGCGCACAGAGCCCACCCAGGCAGGCAGACAGCCAUGCCUGCGGAGGAGCCGAGGUUAUGGGUAGCGAAGGCAGUAAGAAGGGGCCUCCGGGCACGACACCUCCGCUGGCAGAGGGUUUUCAGGAGGGGCCUGGGCUUGUCAGAGCAGCGGCCGGCGUUCGAUUCCCGGCCAGAUGCUGCUGGCCAUCUCCUACUCUGGUCCGCGCCGCGUCGCUAAAGGGUUUUGUUUUUCCUCCUUCUUCUUUUUUAUUUCCUGCUCCUUCUUCUCCCUCUUGUUCUUCUUCGUCUCUCUCCUUAUCCCAUUUAUACUUCGAUUUGAGCAGAUUUAAAGGGCUCUCUUUCCCGUACACAGCAACGGGAUCCAGUCGGGCCGGGACGUAUACCUGUCAUUUUUCUCACGUUAUCCUCAACCUCGUUGCAAAGAAGGGGGCUCGAUGUUGUUCCCUGACCUCUAGAGCAGCACCUCACUGCUUCCACACGCCAAGUGCGAGAGUCUGCCUCUAGGGACCCCCAAACCCCAGGCCUGCUCACACCCUCCACCUCCACGCCGGCCCCCACAGGUCUGUCCUGCAGUCCAAGAUCUUCCUUUUGGUAGAAAGGUCGCAGAGGUUCUAGCCAGCCACUCUCUGGUGCCAUCUGCGUGGCUGCGAAUGGCCUCUGGCGGGGGCGGUGACGGGGGCGGCGGCGGGGGGGGGGGUGGGGGGUUUCUGGGGCUGCGCCGUAUUCCAUGUUGUAUACGUGCCACGUCGUCAUCAUCCCUUCCUCUGUCGAUGGACGCGGCGCUUGUUUCCACGUCUCGGCUUGCUGUGUUUCCUCAGCGCCGAGGUGAUCUGCGUGUCUCUCCGGAUGCGUGAGGGUGCGAGGGUUUUGCGGGGCCUGGUGCCCUCUGGAUAUCGGGUGGAGGGAAAUGCCUCCUCAGGCCCCGGGUCCAUUUUUCGACCGGGGUGUCGGGUGUGUUUCU
rnacentral:lncRNA from 1 species